rnacentral:lncRNA from 1 species
UGAGAUUCUUCCAUGGUGGAAUGAGAAGUACCAAAAGAUACUCAAAUCUCUCACUAAUUAUGAAAUAAUUGACUUUAACCAGGACCAGGUAGUUCGAUGCUAUCCUCAUGUUAUCGUGGGUCUUAAGUUUCACAAGGAGAUGAGCAUUGACCCCUCAAAAUCGCCUUAUGGUCUUACAAUGGUUGAUUUCGGACGAUUUAUCAGGAAGUCUUUUGCACUGGAGAGGGACAUGACAAUUAAACUAGGACCAGAUCAAGGUAAGAAGCCUAGAAUUCUAAUUAUUGCAAGGAAGUGGACGAGGAGAUUUGCUAAUGUUGAUGAAAUAGUCAGAAAUGCGGAAGAGAUGGGCUUCGAAGCUGUUGUUGCAGAGGCAAAGCUUAACUUGAUUGAAUUUGCACACAUAGUUAAUUCGUGCGACGUGAUGCUGGGAGUUCAUGGUGCUGGGCUAACUA